rnacentral:tRNA from 1 species
UCCCUGAUGGUCCACUGGCUAAGACUCCACACUCCCGAUGCAGAGGCGCUGGGUUCCAUCUCCAGUCAGGGAA